rnacentral:rRNA from 1 species
ACGCACGCUGGCGGCAUGCCUAACCCAUGCAAGUCGCACGAGACCUUCGGGUCUAGUGGCGCACGGGUGCGUAACGCGUGGGAACCUGCCCUUAGGUUCGGAAUAACUCCCCGAAAGGGGUGCUAAUACCGGAUAAUGUCUUCGGACCAAAGAUUUAUCGCCUUUGGAUGGGCCCGCGUUGGAUUAGCUAGUUGGUAGGGUAAAAGCCUACCAAGGCGACGAUCCAUAGCUGGUCUGAGAGGAUGAUCAGCCACACUGGGACUGAGACACGGCCCAGACUCCUACGGGAGGCAGCAGUGGGGAAUAUUGGACAAUGGGCGAAAGCCUGAUCCAGCAAUGCCGCGUGAGUGAUGAAGGCCUUAGGGUUGUAAAGCUCUUUUACCCGGGAUGAUAAUGACAGUACCGGGAGAAUAAGCUCCGGCUAACUCCGU